ACUCCAUUUGACAAAGAGCAUUGCACAGCCACAAGAGGUUGUCAGUGCUUGUCUUUGCACGCUGGUAUAUGUACUGUACUAGUACACUUUGAGGAAGAGGUUGUCAGGUGCUUGUCUUUGCACGCUGGUAUAUGUACUGUACAAUACACUUUGAGGAAAAGAUCGUUCAUUAAAUGUUAUACAAUUGUGUGUAUUUCAUUUGCAGCGGAAAUAAUGACAAGAUGAAGUGCAUGCCCAGUUGAUGUUUGCACAAAAAAGCUUCCACGAGCUGGUGACGUUCUUAGGGCUGAAGCCCAAGACAGGAGAGACCGAAGUGGCGACAGGUCACUUCUUUAUGCUGUGGUUUGAGUUCUGUACCGACUUCAAGACCAGGUGGAAGAGAGAGAACAAGAAUAUAUCCAAAGAGAGACUGAAAGAGGCCCAGCUGUCAGUGAAGAAGAGUCACAGCAGACAAGAA